AACAUCCAGGUUAGAGGAGGAAGAGGACAGCAUCACAACACCACCUGACCCCUUGAUAUCUGGCAUUUGGAGAAAGAGCACAUCACAGUCGUCUGUGUGGCACCCCCUCGCUGCACGCCAACACCCAAACCAAGCCACCUCCACCACCGGUCAGAUUAUCUCGCUGAAGAUGUGUACAGUACGCUCCUGCCUGCAUCCUACCACCACAAGUUCACCCCAGAGGAUCUGCUGUCGACAACCAUUGUGAUAUCGUUGCAAUUAUGAAACACACUUAAUAAAUGCUAAUACAUCACAUCACA